rnacentral:tRNA from 2 species
GCGGCGGUAGCAAAGUCUGGUUAAAUGUGCAAGGUUCAGGGCCUUGUGGCUUAGUGCCUUCGCAGGUUCAAAUCCUGCCCGCCGCA